UACGUAGGUGGCAAGCGUUGUCCGGAUUUAUUGGGUUUAAAGGGUGCGUAGGCGGUUCUCUAAGUCAGUUGUGAAAUACUUCAGCUUAACUGGAGAGGUGCAAUUGAUACUGGAGGACUUGAGUACUGAUGAGGUAGGCGGAAUGGACGGUGUAGCGGUGAAAUGCUUAGAUAACGUCCAGAACACCGAUAGCGAAGGCAGCUUACUAAGGAGUAACUGACGCUGAGGCACGAAAGUGUGGGGAUCAAACAGG
rnacentral:rRNA from 1 species